rnacentral:rRNA from 1 species
UGGGGAAUUGUUCGCAAUGGGCGCAAGCCUGACGACGCAACGCCGCGUGGGGGAUGAAGGUCUUCGGAUUGUAAACCCCUGUUGGGUGGGACGAACACUUUCGUGGUGAAUAGCCAUGGAGGCUGACGGUACCACCUGAGGAAGCCCCGGCUAACUCUGUGCCAGCAGCCGCGGUAAUACGGGGGGGGCAAGCGUUGUUCGGAAUUACUGGGCGUAAAGGGCUCGUAGGCGGCCAACUAAGUCAUACGUGAAAUCCCUCGGCUUAACCGGGGAACUGCGUCUGAUACUGGAUGGCUUGAGUUCGGGAGAGGGAUGCGGAAUUCCAGGUGUAGCGGUGAAAUGCGUAGAUAUCUGGAGGAACACCGGUGGCGAAGGCGGCAUCCUGGACCGAUACUGACGCUGAGGAGCGAAAGCCAGGGGAGCAAA